rnacentral:misc_RNA from 1 species
GAUGAAGAACGCAGCGAAAUGCGAUAAGUAAUGUGAAUUGCAGAAUUCAGUGAAUCAUCGAAUCUUUGAACGCACAUUGCGCCCGUCAGUAUUCUGGCGGGCAUGCCUGUUCGAGCGUCAUUACGCCCCUCAAGUCCCCUGUGGUCUUGGUGUUGGGGAUCGGCGAGGCUGGUUUUCCAGCACAGCCGUCCCUUAAAUUAAUUGGCGGUCUCGCCGUGGCCCUCCUCUGCGCAGUAGUAAAACACUCGCAACAGGAGCCCGGCGCGGUCCACUGCCGUAAAACCCCCCAACUUUUUAUAGUUGACCUCGAAUCAGGUAGGACUACCCGCUGAACUUAAGCAUAUCAAUAAGCGGAGGA